rnacentral:rRNA from 1 species
GACAGAGGGUGCAAACGUUGCUCGGAAUCACUGGGCGUAAAGGGCGUGUAGGCGGGUAGUAAAGUCAGAUGUGAAAUCCCUGGGCUCAACCCAGGAACUGCAUUUGAAACUCACUUUCUUGAGUACCGGAGAGGAAGGUGGAAUACCUGGUGUAGAGGUGAAAUUCGUAGAUAUCAGGUGGAACACCAGUGGCGAAGGCGGCCUUCUGGACGGUAACUGACGCUGAGACGCGAAAGCGUGGGGAGCAAACAGG